CGUGGAUCAGCAUGCCACGGUGAAUACGUUCCCGGGCCUUGUACACACCGCCCGUCACACCACGAGAGUUUGUAACACCCGAAGUCGGUAGGGUAACCUUUAUGGAGCCAGCCGCCGAAGGUGGGACCGAUAAUUGGGGUGAAGUCGUAACAAGGUAGCCGUAUCGGAAGGUGCGGCUGGCUCACCUCCUUUCUAAGGAA
rnacentral:rRNA from 1 species